CAUGAUAGAUAGCCGACCUAAAAGGGUGAUCGGUCACACUGGAACUGAGACACGGUCCAGACUCCCACGGGAGGCAGCAGUGGGGAAUCUUGCGCAAUGGGCGAAAGCCUGACGCAGCAACACCGCGUGAAGGACGAAGUCCCUAGGGAUGUAAACUUCUUUCAGGAGGGAAGAAAUGCCCGCUUAGGCGGGAGCUGACGGUACCUCCACAAGAAGCACCGGCUAACUCCGUGCCAGCAGCCGCGGUAAUACGGAGGGUGCAAGCGUUGUCCGGAAUAACUAGGCGUAAAGGGUACGUAGGCGUUCUGGCAAGUCGGUUGUGAAAGUCUUCUGCUUAACGGAAGAAUGCCAGUCGAAACUGUUAGAAUUGAGUACAGAAGAGGAGAACGGAAUUCC
rnacentral:rRNA from 1 species